UAGCAAUGAAUAUAUGUAAACCUUUAAAAAUGAAUUAAUGUUUUUGAUAUAGCAUGUUUAAUUCAAGCUAGUCUGUGUUCAAUUAUUGGAAGCAGGGAGUGAACGCUCUAAGAAAUAAAAUAACCUAGGGUGAAACACCUUAUUUUAUGAAAAACUAAUUUUUAGGAGCAUUUUCUUUUAUACUAUGUAAAAAAAUCCCUGAAAGAUGAACAGACUUUGACAGCUGUUAUAGGUGAGAGCCUCAAGUAAAGAUAAAAUUAAAUGUUUUCCUUAAAUGCUAUUGCCCAAAUAAUGAAUAUCCAUAAUUGAAAACUGAGAUUACCUUAUACUUUGCUUUGUUCUCUCUGCCAGAGUCCUACCCACUGUAUUAGUUGUUAGAGUUGUGGAACUUAACCGAAGCUUUCUCUGGAUUCCAGUUAGAGACCAAACUUUUGAAAAUUGACUAGAGAAAUGCUGCUGUUGAGUUUACUUUCUUCUGAAAGAAUAUCUUUUCCUGUAAUGGGAGGUACAAUAUUUCUGUACAGAGCUACUUCACUCCCACAAGUCAUAGGUCAUCAAGAAGAGCAUCUACAUCCCCAAAUGUUUCAGAGUGUAAGUCAAAAACUCUUACAAUUCCACUUCUUUUCAUGUGUCUCGUAGAUGUUUUAAGAAUAUUUUCAGCUGCAUGGCUUGACAGCCUUGGGAUUCCCUCACACAUUCACAGUCUUUUUUGGAUCAGUCUGAUGUGAGCAUGAAAACUGGGAGUUGUGGAGCCCACUUAGGAAAUGAUUGCAAUUGUCCAGGAGACAGAUGAUGGUAAUUAAGUUUCCAUCAGCCUGGAACUCAGGACAGAAGAUACAUAUUCUGUAUGUAGAGAAUCACUGGAGGUCAAAUGUCUUUGCCAAUUUGAGUUUUUCCACUUGAACAAGAAAAGACUGUCAAGGGAAAGCCAAUCAAUUUCACAAUGUUUAGGAUUGGGCAACAAAUAAAUCGAGUGUAAAAGAAGUCUGAUUCCUCAUUGCUGACAGGAAGACAGCCAUGGAUUGGGAAAAGAUUAGAGUGAAUCCUGUGAUGUUGGAUUGGGAUUGAAGAUACCGAAAAUAAACUCCUGGAUCCAUAUUUCACACCUUAAGAAAGCACUCCAACCCCCAAGGGCAUCAACUUCAACAGGAAAACUGACCCUUCAACUUACCAAAUCUUUGAAGUGACUAGUUGUAUAGUACAACAAGCAGAAAAUUUGCUAUGGAGGUUGUGUUAACUGUUGACAUUUAUGUGAGAUUUUUGCUGCAUAUUUGUUAGAAAAGGCUCAACAAAAUUAUAAUAAACAAUGAUUGUGUUAUUAAUUUUUUAACUGUUAUAUCAGUUAUAAAUGCUUGGAAUGAAAAUGCCUUAAGGAAAUUAGUCAAUAAUGUCACAUAUGUUACUUUUUCUAAUUGGAUCUGCCAUGAUUGCUAUAAAACUUUGUCCUUCCACUAUGACUCAUGAGUAACUUCAAUAACAAACUGCUUGGGAAUUCCCAAUGCCACAGUAGAACUAGUAUAUGCAAACAUUAUUUAUUAUCAGGGUGCACAUAAAGGGAAACUAGGACAAAAACCUACCCUGUUUCAAUUUGAUCUUGUUCUCUUAAGCAUGGAAAAAGAAUACUUGUUGCUAUAACUCAACAACUAAAACUCUUGUUUCUCAGGAGAAAAUGCAAAAAGAAAACCAGUUUAUUUGUCAUUUUUGGUUUUGCAAAUGCUAAUCAAAGUUGGUCUUUAUGCAAUGCAAUUUUUCCCACUCUUAAAACUGACUGAUAACAGCAAAUCAGACUGAACCUAAAAAUGACUCCUUCAAAAGUACUAAAAGCCUGUGUGCUUAUGUUUAUAUAUUUGUCUGUGAAUGGGGACCAAAUCCUUUUAUAUGCUGGGGAAGAAAAUUCCUUGACUCUUGGUCAUUAGCAAGUCAGUGUACUUGGGUGCUCAUGUCACUAAAAUACCUCAUUUAUCCCUCCAAUAACACCUUCUUCUGGCCAGAAGGAUUAUAUUUAUCCUGUUUCAAAAGGGAAAAUCCUGGAGCACCUGAGGCAUAAAUAUGUCAUCUUCUGCCCAAUUAGUGUUUUUUUGUUUGUUUGUUUGCUUUGCCUGGAGUAGAACAUGGAGAAAUAUGAUCAUGAUUACUGAUUUCUCUCAAAUCCUAGGCAACCUAGCUGAUACGGUUUAUCUCUGUGUCCCCACCCAAAUCUCAUCUCAAAUUGUAAUCCCCACAUGUUGAGGGAGGGGAGUGAUUGGAUUAUGGGGGCUGUUUCCCUCAUGCUGUUCUUGUGAUAGUGAGUGAAUUCUCAUAAGAUCUGAUGGUUUUAUAAAUGGUAUUUUUUCCUGUGUGCUCGCUUCUGUCUCCUGCCACCAUGUGAAGAAGGUCCUUCCUUCCCCUUCACCUUCCACCAUGAUUGUAAGUUUCCUGAGGCUUCUCCAGAUGUGUGGAACUGUGAGUCAAUUAAACCUUCUUCCUUUAUAAAUUACACAGUCUUUGGAAGUUCUUUAUAGCAGUGUGAAAAUGUACUAAUACACUAACCUAUUCAACUGUCAAAGUUAUUGCCACUCAGUAAUAAUCUUUAAAUUCAUUAGCAGCAACUGUAUUAAAUAACAGAAUUACUCUAGAUUAUCUGUUGGCAGUACAGGGAAAUGUUUGUGGGAUAGUUAACAACUUACGUUAUACUUGGGAAAAUGCCUCUGAAGUAGUUGAACUGGAGCUCAAUAAAAUUAGUUUAGGCAGGUCGGCUAAGACAAGUGCCAUCUAUUGGUAAGCCAUCCUUUGACUUAUUUAGUUGUUACCAGAAAGGAUACAUUCCUUGACUAGAUCCCUGUUACAACUUAGUAUCAUUAUAACAUUAUUGUUUCUUUUUUAAAACUGUUCACUAAGUUCUUGGAAAACAUUAUUGUUUCUGAUAAUUUUGUUGAUCUGUAAGUAUUUGUCUCAAUGCUUAGAACAAGCACUAAUGCUGCCCACUGAUUUGAUGUUGGCCCAGAUUCCUGUAGCCUGUUCUGAACAUCCAGAAGGAACUUACAGCACCUAGAAUUAUAAGCUUGACUGAGUCUAUGAAAUAGCUUGUAAAUUCACUUCCCUGUGAGCCAGGGACCCAGAACAGAUAGUCUUACUUCACCCUGGCUUUUGCAGGACAAGAUGGAGCUCAUACAGCAUUGAUUUCGUCAGUGUCUAGGGACCUGUGGUGAUCACAGAUAUUCUCUCCUGGGAGAAAUAUCUUGAUCAAAUGAGGGAAAUGUGAGCUUAUCAAUGUUCCACACUUGCCAUCAGUAAUUUCAUCUUUGUCUACUGACUUCACAUUAAUACUGCCGAUGAACUUUGAGAUCUACAAAGUAACACUUCCUUCACAAAUAUUUGUACUCUCAACAGUACACACUAUAAAGAAACCGGUCACUAUCUUUAAGAACUUUAUAUAUAUAGCUUUUCUGACAAACUGAUGUAAUUUAUUCACGUUUAAUCAACUAAUGAAAUAAUCUGACAAACAAUAUAUGUAAACUAAAUAAGUUUUUCUCAAUGUAAGCCCUCUUUCCUCUUUCAGGUGGUGCAGUCUCUGGCUGCUAACUGGGUUGUAAUCCCUGUUCCUGAAUAAAUGUUUAUUUGCCUCUAGCCUGUUCAU
rnacentral:lncRNA from 10 species